GUCACUCCCACCUGAAUAUAUAGGGUGGGUAGAUCGAACGCAGCGAACUGAAACAUCUAAGUAGCUGCAGGAAAAGAAAUCAACCGAGAUUCCCAAAAGUAGUGGCGAGCGAAAUGGGAAGAGCCUGUAUGUGAUAGUCAACUGGUUAGUGGAACGGAAUGGAAAGUCCGGCGAUAGAGGGUGAUAGCCCCGUACACGAAAACUGGUUGGUGGUACUGAGCAUACGACAAGUAGGGCGGGGCACGAGAAACCUUGUCUGAACAUGGGGGGACCAUCCUCCAAGGCUAAAUACUCGUAAUCGACCGAUAGUGAACCAGUACCGUGAGGGAAAGGCGAAAAGAACCCCGGGAGGGGAGUGAAAUAGAACCUGAAACCGUGUGCAUACAAACAGUGGGAGCGGACUUGUUCCGUGACUGCGUACCUUUUGUAUAAUGGGUCAGCGACUUACGUUCAGUAGCGAGCUUAACCGAGUAGGGGAGGCGUAGGGAAACCGAGUCCGAAUAGGGCGCAUAGUUGCUGGGCGUAGACCCGAAACCAAGUGAUCUAUCCAUGGCCUAGG
rnacentral:rRNA from 1 species